GAGCUCUUAUGCUUCUUUUCUUGGUCUUUUUUGUGGAGAAUGCUGCAGGUAAGCAAGGCUUUUAUUUACUAUUGCAACCACAAGACACAAGACAAACUAUUCUGUUACUUAAUGGGAUAUUAUUAGGACAUUAUGUUUAUUAGAGGUUUUACAGAGCACAAUAACACAGAAACAUAAAAUACAAUAAAUCAAUGAAAAUGUUCUUUGUGACAUAACUUCUAAUGUUUUAUAUACAGCUGAAGACUGCCCAUGUGACUGGACACCUUUUGGUGUGGAAUGCUACAAAUUCAUCUCUACUCAAGAAACCCAACCCCGAAACCUGGGUUAAAGCAGAAAAAACUGUCAAAGUAAUGGUGGAUCUCACAUGUGUGCGCAGUGCAGUCCAAAACGACUUUCUCCUGAGUCUUGUGUAGGCGUGCUUGGAUUGGUGGUCAUGAUGGUGAAGUGGAUGGACAAUGGCUGUGGACUGAUGGAUCUCAAUUUGACUUUACAAACUGGUGCCCUAAAGAACCUAACAAUUAUCAAGGUGUUUCUGAGAGCUACCUGGAGAUAAGCUGGAUAGGUCAGCGUUGCUGGAAUGACCAGUCAUGUAUAUACCAAAUGAGUUACAUUUGUGCUCGACCUCUGAGAUUCUGAGAAGUCAAUCUGCUUCAAAAGUACUUUGAUUGUACUACAUAUACCUUUAUUUUUUUCACCUUUUCAAUUUUGGAACAUCCACAUCCUUCUAAACUUAUCAGAAAUACUGUUAA